UCGCGUCUGAUUAGCUAGUUGGUGGGUAACGGCCCACCAAGGCGACGAUCAGUAGCCGGACUGAGAGGUUGACCGGCCACAUUGGGACUGAGAUACGGCCCAGACUCCUACGGGAGGCAGCAGUGGGGAAUUUUGGACAAUGGGGGGCAACCCUGAUCCAGCCAUGCCGCGUGCGGGAUGAAGGCCUUCGGGUUGUAAACCGCUUUUGUCAGGGACGAAACAAAUGACGGUACCUGACGAAUAAGCCACGGCUAACUAC
rnacentral:rRNA from 1 species